rnacentral:tRNA from 2 species
GCCGGUGUAGCUCAGUGGUAGAGCAACUGUCUUGUAAACAGUAGGUCGUCGGUUCGAUCCCGACCACCGGCUCC